CCUGAUGGCCAUAGCGAGCGGGAACCACCCGAUCCCUUUUCGAACUCGGAAGUGAAAACGCUCUGCGCCGAUGGUAGUUUCGCCUGUUGCGACGCUAGAGUAGGUCACCGUCAGGG
rnacentral:rRNA from 1 species